rnacentral:lncRNA from 1 species
AAGAGUCAAAUAGACUAUAAAGUCUAUUAUCUUCUCCACAUUAAAAGUCCACCAAUAAUGUUUUAUCCCUGUAACAUCAAUCAACAGUUCCUUUCCACAAUCAUAUGAAUAACUCAUAAUCAUAAUUGUGAUUCUAAAUUCCUAUUCUCAUCCAGGACGAAGAUAAUUUUCAUCACCUGUCUUUACCUGAAACAUCAAAGAUCAUGGUUAUAC